CGCACGCCGAAGCCACUCUAUAAAUACCACAGGCUCUUCCUCUGGGAAUCAUAUCGUGCCACCGCCAUGAAGACCUUGUGCCUUCUGCUGCUUGCAGUUUGGGCCAUAGCCUCCGCAAAGACCGCACCACAAGAAAACGGCAUUGACAGAAGGGAUGUUGAGGCAGCCGUAGUGCCCGUGACAUCAAUGCCGAAAUCCACGCCCUUGUCGCUAAGUCCUGUCACUGAAGACACGGCCGAAGACCGCGAGAUCGGUCUGGGACAGGAAGAAUCAACCUACAGAAGAUUGUGGCGUCCGCGAAGACGCCAUGGUUUCGUCAUAAGGACUGGUCCAAGACGUCUAUGUCGAAACCGUAAAUUUGGGUGCCGUGUAUAACAUCUAGAGCACUGGCGCUGCUGACUUCAGGACAAUGCGCUAGCCACCACUAGUACAGCUAUCUGUAAUCUGUAAUCCGUAAUCUUUAUUGAUGUUGAUGUUGACAUUCACCAAGAGCAGAUACCUUGGACUGUGGUGUACAGGCACAACAACAAUAAGUGAAAGAGAAGUGAUGAUGACAGGUACAGUUUACACCAAUACGCCUAAACAGCCAACUUAUAUAAUAUUUGAUCAUCAAACUACAUUGAAAUAAAUCACCCAAAAAGGAACCAAAGCCGCGAACUAAUAAAAGUUGUCAUAAUAAAAUCAUAGUUCCAGCUCUAUCGCACUGAUUGUUAUGUUAACGUGAGGCGACUUUAUGUAAAAUAACUCGUAAUAUGACCCAAACAUUCUCGCUCAUUGCCCCAUUUUUGUGUGAUGGGACUAAUAAAUUUGAGUUUGUCCUUGUGGAAGAACACGAAUAAAGUAUUAUGUACGCCACAAA